rnacentral:rRNA from 1 species
UACGUAGGGCGCAAGCGUUGUCCGGAAUUAUUGGGCGUAAAGAGCUCGUAGGCGGUUUGUCGCGUCUGUCGUGAAAGCUUGGGGCUUAACCCCAAGUCUGCGGUGGAUACGGGCAGACUAGAGGCAGGUAGGGGGGUGCGGAAUUCCUGGUGUAGCGGUGAAAUGCGCAGAUAUCAGGAGGAACACCGGUGGCGAAGGCGGCACUCUGGGCCGGUACUGACGCUGAGGAGCGAAAGCGUGGGGAGCGAACAGG